CAAAACAUGGGUAAAUGAUAUCCUCUCAUUGACAUUACAUGGUUGAUGAAAAGUAAACGUGGCUACGGGUCGUCCGCCUUUGUGAUGGAUGACUUGAUCGCUAUUUGACAGUGAUUGACUUUUCAUGAAGGAAGAUUGAAUGCUUACCAUGAAAUAGAAUAGGAUCAUAUUGGGAGAGCGGAUAUUAUCCCAAAGAGAUCAAU
rnacentral:lncRNA from 1 species